CAAGGUUAAAACUCAAAGGAAUUGACGGGGACCCGCACAAGCGGUGGAUGAUGUGGAUUAAUUCGAUGCAACGCGAAAACCUUACCUACCCUUGACAUGUCCAGAAGCCUGAAGAGAUUUGGGUGUGCCCGAAAAAGGAACUGGAACACAGGUGCUGCAUGGCUGUCGUCAGCUCGUGUCGUGAGAUGUUGGGUUAAGUCCCGCAACGAGCGCAACCCUUGUCGUUAAUUGCCAUCAUUCAGUUGGGCACUUUAACGAGACUGCCGGUGACAAACCGGAGGAAGGUGGGGAUGACGUCAAGUCCUCAUGGCCCUUAUGGGUAGGGCUUCACACGUCAUACAAUGGUCGGUACAGAGGGUUGCCAAGCCGCGAGGUGGAGCCAAUCCCAGAAAGCCGAUCGUAGUCCGGAUCGCAGGCUGCAACUCGCCUGCGUGAAGUCGGAAUCGCUAGUAAUCGCGGAUCAGCAUGUCGCGGUGAAUACGUUUCCGGGUCUUGUACAC
rnacentral:rRNA from 1 species